GUACGCCUACAAAACAGGUAGAGAGACUGUGGUGAGCCCUGACUAUUCAGAACUGAAUUUCCUACUUCUAAGGAGGACAGGACCCUGAGAAUAUUAAUGAGCCUGUUACUUACGAAAUAGGGGACAAAGAAGCAAAUGAGGCUCUGAUAGAAGGCAUCCAACAUUGUAAUAAUAAAAGUUGAUCUGUUGUAUAUCUGCAAGAGUUAAUGACAGUAGUUAUGAUGGGAUAUAUACGUCUCUGGUCUGUCCUGCAAACAUAAUUGCUGUCUGUUUUUCUUCCAUUCAGACUACUGAUUAUUGCUAACUGGUCUCCUCCAUGAGUAAAUGCCUCCUGUGCCACUGAUUAAGCCAAAGGCUUAUCUCUGUGUUAAGUAAAACUAGACCUUAGGAAUAUUAACAAUUCUAUAAGGAGUCUUAAAAGCUGUAUUUCACUGUCGCAUCCCUUCAGAAGGGAUAUUAUGGCUCAAAUUCUUUAUCAAAACUCUUUCUAGAGUUAUAAAUUUGGUAAAAAAUCCUUUCUUCUAGUGAAGCAUUUAUUUUUUGCCAUUUUAAUUUGACUAUUUGUCAUAGUAAACUUAUCUAGUGGCAGGGGUGACAGCUCCCAUGGAGUGGAAUUCAAUACUGGAGAGACAGAAGGCUGGGCUCCUGUUGUUUCAACGUUCCAACUCGGGCAGACAUAGGAGUGUUUCUGCAGAAACAUCUUUAUCAAGGGCUCCAAAGAGAAGAGGGGGCACUGAGGUGAAGAAGAGGUUGAAAAAAAUCAUCUGCCAGUAAUCUAUCAUGGUGCUGCCUGAGAACCCACAGAAGAACUGGUACCAGAAGAGCAGGUUGGCGUAGCACUGUGGAGAAGCAAAUACAAACACGUAGUUCCACCUGUGACGUUUAUGUGGGACAUUGGUUUGUAACAGAGUAUCCUAAGAGACAGGUUUUUGGUUAAAGGCACUGCACUUCAUUCCAUAACGCAGUAUAUCUUAAGUGUCUGUUUCACAGUGAUCCACUGUGAUACAGCUUUUUAAAAGCCAUUAUGUUUCUUUAAGAACAUAUCAGAGAAUAAUUAAGUAAACUGUUCACAGCUGUGAGCACCAGAUUUUAAAAUCCUUUUACAGUCUCGUUGUCCAUAUGGAAUUAAAGGCGUGCUGCUCCCUAUUGCUACUGGGGAGAUGAAAGAACAGCAGCAUCCCAGUCUGGAGAACUAUUUCACAUUGCAAAUAAAUAUCCUUUGAACUCUAAAAGGAUGUUCAAUCAAAGAAAGAAAAGUGUUAAUUUCCACUACAAAUUUUAACAGUGAUAAGAAGUAAUCCUUAUUGAAAAUCAUUAAAAACUCCACAAAAGAUACCUGGAAUUCUAAAUAAAAAGCCUUUAAUGCUCAGAGUGUAUUUCAUGUCAAAUUGACUUGUUUGCCCAGUCUUGUAGAAACUGAAUUACUUCAUUUUUUCCAUUUUAUGUUAUACUUCAAUGCAGAGCUCAUUUGUGUAUACAUUAAAUUUUUAAUAAAAAUGACAGAUAUGACUGCA